rnacentral:rRNA from 1 species
UACGGAGGGGGCUAGCGUUGUUCGGAAUUACUGGGCGUAAAGCGUGCGCAGGCGGUUUGUUAAGUCUGAUGUGAAAGCCCCGGGCUCAACCUGGGAACUGCAUUGGAAACUGGCAAGCUCGAGUAUGGCAGAGGGGGGUGGAAUUCCGCGUGUAGCAGUGAAAUGCGUAGAGAUGCGGAGGAACACCGAUGGCGAAGGCAGCCCCCUGGGCCAAUACUGACGCUCAGGCACGAAAGCGUGGGGAGCAAACAGG